rnacentral:rRNA from 1 species
UACGUAGGGUGCGAGCGUUAAUCGGAAUUACUGGGCGUAAAGGGUGCGUAGGCGGGUAUGUAAGGCUGGCGUGAAAUCCCCGGGCUCAACCUGGGAAUGGCGAUGGAUACUGGCGAGCUAGAGUGUGUCAGAGGAUGGUGGAAUUCCCGGUGUAGCGGUGAAAUGCGUAGAGAUCGGGAGGAACACCAGUGGCGAAGGCGGCCUUCUGGACCAAUACUGACGCUCAUGCACGAAAGCGUGGGGAGCAAACAGG